AGGCGGACCCAGAGACAGGAAGAGUGGCAUCUGAGCAUGUGAGAGAUUUAAAGGAAUGCCUGCAGUUGGUGAGGGAUGUGGCAUGUGAGAAUUUGGGGCAGGCACAGAACAAAUAAGAGAGGUACAAUGUGCAUUUUAAGGAGAGAGAGCUAAAAGUGGAUCAAAAGGUGUUGGCAUUGUUACCCAGCUUGACAAGCAAGUUUUAAACAUGUUGGCAAGGACCUUUCAAGGUGCUAAGAAGAAUGGGGCCAGUAGAUUAUGAGAUAUCCCAUCCAGGAGCCAAGAGAGAAAAACAGGUUUUCCACAUAAAUCUACUUAAAGAAUGGCAUGAACCUGAGGGCCUACUGAUCUCUCCUGACCCAGAGUCAGAGGAAUUUGGGCACCAGAUUGCAGAAAAUUCUAGCGAACCAGGAGACACAAACAAGGUCCCCAUUGGAAGCCAACUAGAGGAAGAACAGCAGAGACACAGAGAUUAAUCAAAGAUUUCUCGGAUGUUUUCACUGAAAGUCCAGGGAAAGCUAUAGGGGUUGAACAUAAAAUUAUUACCAAAGAGGGUCACAUAGUGCGGGAAAAAUGGAGGAGGAUCCCUUAUCAUAGAUAUCAACCUAUCAAAGAAGAGUUAGAAAAGAUGUUAGCCCAAAGGAUUAUCACUCCAUCACAUAGCCCAUGGCGUAGUCCAUUGGUAGCGGUGCCAAAACCUGAUGGAAUAUUGCGAUUAUGCAUAGAUUUUUGCAAGUUAAAUGUCAUGACCUAAUUUGAUGUGUUCCCAAUGCCUCACGUGAGCGAAUUAGUGGAACGUAUAGGACAGGCAAAAUUUAUAUCCACUCUAGAUUUAUCAAAAGGCUACUGGCAGGUGCUCUUAAGAACAGAAGACCAACCGAAGACAGUCUACGGAACCCCAUGGGGGCUUUUUGAAUGUAAAAGAAUGCCAUUUGGACUCAAUGUGGUGGUGGCCACCUUUCAAAGGCUAAUCAAUUGGGUGUUCACUCCGCACCAAGGUUACGCAUCGGCAUAUAUUGACGACAUUGUAGUUUAUACGGAAUCCUGGGAACAACACCUAAGGGCUUUAAGAGCCAUCUUACUGGAGCUAAAGCAAGUAGGACUGACUGCCAACCCAAAGAAGUGUGCUUUGGGGAAGACGGAAACUAAAUUUAGGAUUCUUGGUAGGGCAAGGAUGUGUGAGACCCCUGGCCGAUAAAGUACAAGUUAUUAGAGAGUAUCAGGCACCUCGGAACAAGAAACAAAUGAGAGCGUUCUUAGGGCUCACAAGUUAUUACAGGUGUUUUAUACCCAAGUUUGCAGAGGUAGCGGCACCCUUAGUCAAGGCUAUUAAAGGGUAAGAAGUCACAUCAAAUUGCAUGGGACUUGGUUCAAUGGAAGGCCUUUGAAGACCUCAAGCAGGCAUUGUGCCAAGAUGUAAUACUCCAUACUCCCAAUUUUGCACUGCCCUUCACCUUGCAGACUGACACCUCAGCAUUCGCACUGGGAGCUGUUUUGUCCCAGGAAGUGGAAGGAGUGGAGCGACCGGUGGCAUAUGCCAGCCAAAAAUUGAAUGAGCAUGAGAAAAGGUACUCCACAGUGGAUCGGGAAUGUCUUGCUAUUCAUUGGGGGGUGGACUAUUUCCGUUAUUACUUGCUGGGCCGUGAAUUUAAAUUGAUAACAGAUCAUGCCCCCUUGAGAUGGAUGAACACCGCAAAAACAGAUAAUACUCACAUUAUGCGGUGGGCGUUAGCUCUCAACCGUUUUGAUUUUGUGUUGCGUACAGGCCAGGAAGAGUGAAUACGGUGGCUGAUUUCCUAUAUUGGUGUGACAUAGACGGCCUGAGUAAGAUGAAGGAAGAAGAGGAGGGAGAAGAAGUCAGCAACCUGAAGGAGAACCAAACAGAGACCCUGGGUCAGAACCUGCUGGCUGGACCAGUAACAAGAAGACGAUUCAAUGCCCGGUGGAAUGGACGAGGGUGUAGGGGAUGGUGGAGCCCUCAUGAACAUAGGACGGUGGACGACGACUGACUGGAACUACACGCCCAGUUCCACUUGCAAUGCCACUGCUGAGGACAUGCAGGCUGCCGUAAAUGCACACAUGGACAGGAUCGUGAAUGCCCUCAGGGACUGUAAGCAUUGGCUGCAUGAGAUGGUGAGACACAUCCAGCUGGCUAUGGACAGAUUGAUGGCCAUCCAGUCUGACAGGAAUCACUCCGAGUACAGGAGGCAUUCCCAGACCCAGGACUGGCAAAUAAUGGCCAGGCUCUCCUUGCAAUGAUUUUAUGCCUACUGGUCAUCAGCCCCGCUCCUGCCUGGGAGUGUGGCAGGCCAGCAUAGAUCCACCCUCUGCCAUCCACCAGUUCACAGUCAAGCUCAGAAAGUCCACCUUAGAGCCAAGGUCUUUUAGUUAAAAAUGAUUAUUGCUUAGAUUGUUGUGUUUUUUUUUCAUGAAUCAUGCAUGAUUAUGGUAGUACAAAGAAAUUCCUCUGUUGUAGUAAUUAUUCAUUGUUAUAUUAUAAAAGCUGUUCUGUUGUUUGUUUAAUUAUGAUUAAAAUUUGGUGUGUAAAUAAAGGUUUCUAUUUACUUUGUUCGAUUCUUAACUUCACAUUCCCUGUGUGUAAGAGGGUGGGAGGAGGGGGUUUGCUGGCUUGUAGGAUGAGGGGCUUGCAUAAGCCAC